rnacentral:pre_miRNA from 1 species
UGUAUGUAUGUAUAAGUGUAUGUAUGUAUGUAUGUAUGUAUGUAUGUAUACAUACAUACAUACAUACAUUCAUACAUGCAGACA